rnacentral:rRNA from 1 species
GACGUAGGGCGCGAGCGUUGUCCGGAUUUAUUGGGCGUAAAGAGCUCGUAGGCGGUCUGUCACGUCGGCUGUGAAAACCCGAGGCUCAACCUCGGGCCUGCAGUCGAUACGGGCAAACUAGAGUACUGCAGGGGAGACUGAAUUCCGUAGGUUCGGUAGCGGUGAAAAUGCGCAGAUAUCAGGAGGAACACCGGUGGCGAAGGCGGAUCUCUGGGCCGAUACUGACGCUGAGGAGCGAAAGCGUGGGGAGCGAACAGG